CAGCCGCCACGGUAAUACGUAGGUCCCGAGCGUUGUCCGGAUUUAUUGGGCGUAAAGCGAGCGCAGGCGGUUAGAUAAGUCUGAAGUUAAAGGCUGUGGCUUAACCAUAGUACGCUUUGGAAACUGUUUAACUUGAGUGCGAGAGGGGAGAGUGGAAUUCCAUGUGUAGCGGUGAAAUGCGUAGAUAUAUGGAGGAACACCGGUGGCGAAAGCGGCUCUCUGGCUUGUAACUGACGCUGAGGCUCGAAAGCGUGGGGAGCAAACAGGAUUAGAUACCCCCGUAGUCCCUGUCUCUUAUACC
rnacentral:rRNA from 1 species